rnacentral:rRNA from 1 species
UACAGAGGUCCCUAGCGUUGUUCGGAUUUACUGGGCGUAAAGGGCGCGUAGGCGGCCAGGCAAGCCAAGUGUGAAAUCUCCGGGCUCAACCCGGAACGUGCGCUUGGGACUGCCGGGCUCGAGUGCGGAAGGGGGAAUCGGAAUGCAGGGUGUAGCGGUAAAAUGCGUUGAUAUCCUGCAGAGCACCGGAGGCGAAGGCGGAUUCCUUGUACGCAACUGACGCUGAGGCGCGAAAGUCGGGGGAGCAAAC